rnacentral:lncRNA from 1 species
GAGAGAGAGAGAGGCAGAGACACAGGCAGAGGGAGAAGCAGGCUCCAUGCAUGGAGCCUGAUGUGGGAUUUGAUCCCGGGACUCCACGAUCACACCCUGGACCAAAGGCAGGCGCCAAACUGCUGAGCCACCCAGGGAUCCCCAGCAAUCAGCUUUUUGAUGUGUUUCUUGCUCAUGGAUCUCGGCGUGAGGGUCCUUCAGCCGCAGAUGCUCCACCUGAAGGAUUCAAUGUCCUGCAACUGCUCCUGCCGGGCCGUUGCAUCGGCUGGAGCAGAAGCCUCCGAUCCUGGCCUCCCGAAUCCAUAAUGCCUUCCCAGGCCCACUGGCAGGCCUGGGGCCAAGGCAGGGUGUCCCGCGUCCACCACACCUUGGGUCAUUGCCAUCUCCUCCACCAGAGGUCCCGCCCGCGUCUGGCCGGUCCUCCGCGGGGGGGCGAUCACGUCCCGCCUCGCCUGCGGCCCCGACCCCCCCCCCCCCCCCCCCGGCCCCUCAGGCCCCGCCGCCUGACCGCCCCGGGACCCCAGCAGCCCUACUCCUUGCACCUGGAAGCGAGAGCAGCCACCUGGCGCUGGUCGACCCCUCUGGGCCCAGCCUCCCAGACACAGCUUGGCAAACCCCACCCCCCGCAGCACUUCAGCCAAUGGAAGCUAGCCACAGGACGAGAGGCGGCGACUUCGUCCAAUCGCGUCCCUCUGACAACGUCGCCCAAUCAAGUGAAGCAGCCAAUAACGCCUCCAGUAGAAACAAGGAAGGCGGGGAAAAGGGAAGGGGUGUGGCCACAAGGCCCCGCCCACCACUCCGUGAAGCCGAGGUUGUGCGCCUGCGUGAGGGAGGCGGCGGCCUUACCUAAGCUGGGGGGUCCUGUGGUCGUCCUUUUGCAAGGAUCUUUUAAGACCGCCUGUGAGAGCUAGUUUAUUCUUUAAAUUUAUUUAGCGAAGCUGGAGGGGUAGAGGGAGAGAGAAUCCCAAACAGGCUCCCAGCCCGGUGUGGAGCCCCUGGGGGCUCUGGGGCUGGGUCUCAGGACCCUGAGAUCAUGACCUGAGCCUACAUCAAGAGCCCCACGCUUAACCCACUGAGCCACCCAGGCCCUGGGGAUGCUAGUAUAAUUAAAACUAAACCUACACACUGAAUCACCGAAGUCCUCGCCGCAUGUGGCACCUUAUAAUUUUUAUUCUAAAAAAAAGUAUUAAAUUUUAUUAAU